AGUGAACGCUGGCGGUAGGCCUAACACAUGCAAGUCGAACGGCAGCACAGUAAGAGCUUGCUCUUACGGGUGGCGAGUGGCGGACGGGUGAGGAAUACAUCGGAAUCUACUUUUUCGUGGGGGAUAACGUAGGGAAACUUACGCUAAUACCGCAUACGACCUACGGGUGAAAGCAGGGGAUCUUCGGACCUUGCGCGAUUGAAUGAGCCGAUGUCGGAUUAGCUAGUUGGCGGGGUAAAGGCCCACCAAGGCGACGAUCCGUAGCUGGUCUGAGAGGAUGAUCAGCCACACUGGAACUGAGACACGGUCCAGACUCCUACGGGAGGCAGCAGUGGGGAAUAUUGGACAAUGGGCGCAAGCCUGAUCCAGCCAUACCGCGUGGGUGAAGAAGGCCUUCGGGUUGUAAAGCCCUUUUGUCGGGAAAGAAAAGCAGCAGGUUAAUACCCCGCUGUUCUGACGGUACCCAAAGAAUAAGCACCGGCUAACUUCG
rnacentral:rRNA from 1 species